rnacentral:rRNA from 1 species
ACGAACGCUGGCGGCGUCCUUAACACAUGCAAGUCGAACGGAAAGGCCUGCAGCUUGCUGCGGGUACUCGAGUGGCGAACGGGUGAGUAACACGUGGGUGAUCUGCCUUGCACUUCGGGAUAAGCUUGGGAAACUGGGUCUAAUACCGGAUAGGACAGCUGUUUAGUGUCAGUUGUGGAAAGUUUUUUCGGUGCAAGAUGAGCUCGCGGCCUAUCAGCUUGUUUGUGGGGUAAUGGCCUACCAAGGCGUCGACGGGUAGCCGGCCUGAGAGGGUGUACGGCCACAUUGGGACUGAGAUACGGCCCAGACUCCUACGGGAGGCAGCAGUGGGGAAUAUUGCACAAUGGGCGGAAGCCUGAUGCAGCGACGCCGCGUGGGGGAUGAAGGCCUUCGGGUUGUAAACUCCUUUCGACAGGGACGAAGCUUUUGUGACGGUACCUUUAUAAGAAGCACCGGCUAACUACGUG